AUUGAAGGCGUGCAAUUAAUUUUUCUUCAGUGAAGACUUUCUCAUGGGAAACUAAUUCAGCAAUGCUUUGUGAUGAGCUCAAUCUAUAGCAAUUGGGAAUAGCAUGACUUGCUGAGCCCCUUCUCUGUGCCAUGCGUGGACCUAACCUGCAUCCUCACAGCAACUCAAAUAGGCCAGAAGAGGAAAAGUCUAUCACAUUUUAAGGAGGGAUAUGCAGCUGGGAAGAAUCCAGAGAAAGAAGCAAUUGAAGACAGUGGCUGCAUAAUCACUGACAGGCUGGAUAGUAUCAAGUAUACUCCAGGACUCUGAAAAAAACUGAAUUUCGAGUUUGCCUCUUGUUUGUAAUUUAUAUAUUAGUUUUACACUUUUUUAUUUUUUUUUUCUUUUUGUGGAGAAUGGGGUCUUGCUACAUUGCCCAGGCAGGUCUCGAACUCCUGGGCUCAAGCUAUCCCCCUGCCUCUGCCUCCCUAGGAGCUGGGAUUACAGGCAUGAGCCACGGCACCUGGC
rnacentral:lncRNA from 10 species